AAAGGGAUUCCCCCAGUAGCGGCGAAAAGGGACCCCAAAGAAUCCUGUCCCUCGGGGAAAUGUGGCGUAUGGAAGCGUUAUUUUCCGCGCGGGGUAGGCGUCUCAAGUCCCCAUGAAUGGGGCGACCGUAGCGGGUGUGAGUCCCGUACAGACGCCUUCCCCGAACGGAGCUACGUUUUCCCGGGAGUCGGGUUGCUUGAAAUUGCAACCCAAAGUGGGUGGUAUGCUCCACCUAAGGCUAAAUAUCCCCGAGAGACCGAUAGCAAAAAAGUACCGUGAGGGAAAGUUGAAAAGAACUUUGAAGAGAGAGUUCAAUAGUACGUGAAACCGCUUAGAGGUAAACGGGUGGGCCCUCGAAGUCAGGUGUCCGUUCAACCCCGGCUAAUCGAAAUUUCCACGCGUACCUAGGCGACGCCGCCGAAAGGCGCGCGGAACGUGCCGGGGCGCACUUCUUCGGUACCCACGAGGCCGCGACGGGUUGGCCGACGGUUGGAAGGAGGCAGGUUGCCCGCUCCGUCGGGUGUAUGGCCAGUAUAGCCGACCGCCGCGACCCGUGAAGAGAGGUUUCGCUUCUCGCACCCGUUUAGAAAUUACGACGGGAGUGCUAAGAAGUCGGCGGUCAGUAGGCCGGGUCCCACCCGACCCGUCUUGAAACACGGACCAAGGAGUCUAACGCGUAUGCGAGUCCGAGGGAGUCGAAUAACCCCGAGGGCGCAGUGAAAGUGAAGCCCGGAGUUGGGAUCCAAUGGCGCACCAACCCGUCCGUACCGCCACGUCGGUUGGACGGAGCGAGAGCCUACGCUGGACCCGAAAGAUGGUGAACUAUGCCUGGGCACGAAGCCAGAGGAACUCUGGUGGAGGUCCGUAUUCUGACGUGCAAAUCGAUCCCUGGUAUAGGG
rnacentral:rRNA from 1 species